CACAGACAAAAGAAGAAGAAGUCACUCACUGCGCAGUCUACCAUGGGAGGUGGCGCUAAUGCACCUUUCAGUUGGUUGCCACCCGACAUUUAAAAGACAAAAGAAGAAGAAGUCACUCAGGUUGAAGAAGCGCCCACUUCCUGCUUCCCCAAACGCUGACGCAUGCCAGCUACCGAAACGCGAGGAGGUUGCUUCUCGAACUGACACGUGGCUACCUUGUAGAAGAGUGCUCACCUCAGGAGCAAAUAGUGGUGUCAAGGAAAACAGCUGCAUCCUCCAUCUGUACAGCAGCUGCACUGCUUCCGAUGUCUUCCAACACGUGAAGACAAAAAAGAUCCUCACAUCUCCCCAGCCAACUGCCCAUGACUGUACCUGUUCCACUCCAGAAACUAUGCUUUCAACAUAACUGUGAAUCCUACCCGUUCAUUUUGUGGUCUGCAAAUUGAACUGUGACGGAAACACUGCCCUGAUCCAGACCAGGAAAGGUGGGAUGACUUAAACUCUUCGCCCUAGAAGUCCCCAGCACCAGCUAACAAGACUUCUGGACUAGAUACCUGCAACAACUUGAGAUACACACAGAAAUUGUACUGAAAAAAAACAAUAACUACAUUUCUAUUAGUUAUAUAUUAGCACUUGAUAUAUCAUACACCUUACUAAAAGCAAUUAAAAAUAUAUUAGGUCAAUAUAUAUUUAGAAACUAUGUUUGUAAACCAGAGUUCCCAGGUACAUUAUGAUUAAUCUGUAAAUAGUAAAAUGUUCUAAAGUUUUUUAUGAAUUUCUGAGAUACUGAUUUAUUCCAUGCGUAAUUGUCUGAUAUACUUUAUAUUAAAUGUGUUCUGUAAUUAAUACACAUUCAAUCAUACUGGCUCCAGUCCUGGAUCAUCAACCAUACGUGACAGUAGGUUUGGCAACUAGUUCAGGCGUCCUGAGGUAAGAUUUAUCGAAAUUUUAAUUUAUUAAUAAAAGUAAUAAACACAUGCAAUAUCUUGAAAGCAAUAGUUUUUUUCACACUAUGCCUCUGUAGGCAUUCACUGUUCCUACAUUGGCACUUAAUUACAGACAAAUACGGCAAAAUAUAAGCUGCAGCUGAAGAUCCCAUACACCCCCCUACACAGCAGCAGAACGAGAAAUAAAAAAACAUGUAAAAAUGAGUUUAUAUUAGUUUAUCAAGCUAUGCUCCCAAACAAGCUGUAGUCGUGUUAUGAAUAUUCUGUUGUAUUAAAUCAGGCUGCUAAUUUGCAACCAUUAGUAUUAACGUUAGCAGCUAAUCAAGUUGCGUAUUCUAUGAAUCAAAGUAAAUUAAAUGUGAAUAAGCCAGUUAGACGUACCUUGCGCCAGUCAAAGUGUAACCACUUCAACAGCCUUCCAUUCGCCUUCAGAGUCAGAUUUUGGAUCAAACGUAUGGUUGAACUCCACUACGAGGACGAGUCAGCCAGUGUCACUGUUACAAUGGAUUCAGUGAUCAUGAGGUUUGAUUCCCACGGCUAUGCGCUUCCUCAAAGGGGUGUGGCGAUCAGUUUAGCUUCCGACACACUCCGAAAAUAGAGUGUUGUGGACGAGAGCUUAAAACACACAUUUUCAGAUGUGUGGGCGAUCUACAGAGCUUUUUGGCAUGAAAAGUUACAGACACCUUACUGAGACAUCAAGGUCCAAUUCUUUAGCAAUGUGGAGCAUGAAAAAAGCGUGUGCAUGGAUCUUUAAGCUUUUUUAAACUACCUGGUCUUUCAUAUAGUUGAGGGGGUGUU